GGGUCUGUAGCUCAGUUGGUUAGAGCACGCCCCUGAUAAGGGCGAGGUCACACGUUCGAGCCGUGUCAGACCCA
rnacentral:tRNA from 1 species